rnacentral:rRNA from 1 species
UACAGAGGUGGCAAGCGUUGUUCGGAAUUACUGGGCGUAAAGGCGCGUAGGCGGCCAUCUAAGUCAGACGUGAAAUCCCCCGGCUUAACCUGGGAACUGCGUCUGAUACUGGACGGCUUGAGUAUGGGAGAGGGAUGCAGAAUUCCAGGUGUAGCGGUGAAAUGCGUAGAUAUCUGGAGGAAUACCGGUGGCGAAGGCGGCAUCCUGGACCGACAUUGACGCUGAACGACGAAGCU